rnacentral:tRNA from 1 species
GCCUUCGUGGUGUACGGGUCAGCACGCACAGCAUGUAUUCGAGAGGUCCGUGGUUCGAUUCCCGGCGAGGGCA